UAUCUAGUCGUCAAAUGCAUAGUGCAUAGUGCCAGUAUAGUACUGCAUAGUAACUAGCAUAGUGAAUGGUCAACAUAUGCACAGUGCAUAGUGUCAGCAUAGUAACUGGCAUAGUGAAUGGUCGACACAUGCACAAUGUAUAGUGCCAGUAUAGUACUGCAUAGUAACUGACAUAGUGAAUGGUCGACAUAUGCACAGUGCAUAGUGCCAGCAUAGUAUUGCAUAGUAAGCUAGCAUAGUUCCCUUUGUACGCCUAUAUAUAGAAAUUCAUAAGGUUCAUAACCUUUCUGAUCUCUAUCUUUUUCUCUCCUUUUAAAAGUUUAAUAAUACGUUAUGGCUUUCUUUUUUCUAUGAUUUCAUAACACGUUAUUUUUUUUUUUUUGUGAGGGUGGCCAUAUUUUUGCAGCUGCAAUCAGCGUGUUGAUCCUGGUUCUUGUUUCUAGAUUUUCGAUGGAUUCCAGCAGAGUUGGCUUCUCCAUACCAAUUUGGUAUUCUUUUAUAGAAGCAGAAAUUUUUGUCAUUGACCUUUCUUUUAUGGUUGGCUAGCUCGGUAAGCAGAAAUCUUUGGAAAAGUAUUCGGGUAUUUGGCAGCUGCGUGUGGACUACUUUUUCAAAGCUUAUCUGCUCAUUUGUCCUGGCUCAUCUUUCUCUUGAGCACAAUCCAAUGAUUUAUUUCCUAGAUUUUUGCGGUGUCGUAUAGCUUGUUUUCACAUUGGGUUCUGGCAAAGUCGACUAUCCAAGAAGGAUUUCGUAUUCUUCUCUGGUUGGCUUCGUAACAAUGGGUGCAGCAGAUAUGUUUUCCUCUCAAGAUGGUUUCUUGUCCAUACGUGAGUUUUUCCGUAGAUUUUUCUGGCAUUGCUACAGAAUUUUAGCAUGGUGGGUUCGCUUUUGCAGAUCCUGUGGUUUUCAUCUAUAGGAGCACAAAUAUAUUUAUUUGCAGCGAGAGAGUGUGAUUUGAAGGAAGUUUUGUCUAUCUCGCUUUCCUUAGGCAGUCUUUCUACUUGUUUGAACCAUUAUUUUUCUUCUUCUGUAAAUUGGUCUAGAGGUUCCUUUCUAGGCAUAUGAUUUUUAAGUGGUUUUUUGAGGUCUUUGGUCGUGCAGCGCCGGUGACCUCAUAACCUUCUUGUUUGAACCAUUAUUUUUCUUCUUCUGUAAAUUGGUCCAGAGGUUCCUUUCUAGGCAUAUGAUUUUUAAGUGGUUUUUUGAGGUCUUUGGUUGUGCAGCGCCGGUGACCUCAUAACCUUCUUGGACAACUAAUUUAUUAGAGUUUCUGACCUGGUUCAUGCUGAUCCUGGUUCAUGUUUCUAGGUUUUUAUCACAGUGGAUUCCAGCAAAGUUAGCUUCUCCAUACCAAUUUGGUAUUCUUUCAUAGGAGCAAAAAUUUUUAUCAUUGUCCUUUAUUUUUUGGUUGGCUAGCAUGGAAAGCUUGAAUCUUUGGGAAAGUAUUCGGAAAUUGGUGGCUGUCUGUUGACUACUUUUUGCAGAGCUUAUCAGCUCAUUUGUCCUGGCUCAUGUUUCUACCAGCAUCUACUUGAAUGUGCACAACUCGUUAUGCAUUAAGAUGAUUGGUUUUUCCAUUCAGUAUUUUGACAUUUUUUUGCAGGUUGGAGCUUUAUGCAAGAUUUUGAUUUAUUGUGAUUUGGUUGUUGUCCAAGUGUUGGUGGCUUUGGAAGCGGUCUCACACUGAAUGUUAGGUUCGUACAUGCCUGGGAUUGUUUCCUCAUGCAUUCUAUAUGGAAGACUUUCGACAUUGUUGUAGCCAAGUUACUAUCUUAAGGAUUUACAAAGAAUGAACUCCUGUCAUGUCUAGUAGAAAAUUUUGAUUAAGCCUUCGUUUAACUGUAGCGCGAUAGAGUAUGAUUUUCUGGAAAUUAUUUAUCUGCUUGUCCAAUUAGUAUUAAGGGUCAUUUUUAGGCAUAUGAUUUUUUGAAGAUUAUGAACUACGACAUGAUUUUUUGAGCUCUUUGGUCGUUCUGUGUUGGUGACCUCAUAACCUUCUUGGACAACUAAUUUAUAAGAGUUUCUGACCUGAUUAUGGUCAAAGGAAAAUCAUCUUUGGGCCAGAAGAAAGCAGGUUUCGUAUCUGUGCUUAUGUAGAUGAGAUGCGUCUAUUUUCCCAAGCUUUCCGCGGACUAAUUUGUAUUGCUGGAGUUCAUAAUCUGUGUGUCAGAUAUCUGCUUACCUCCUUCCUGGCAUUGAAGAAUUGCUUACUAGGUGCUUAAAACGUUUAAAAAUUUCAAUGGUUGGCUUUGUACUCAAGGCACCGAGGGUCCUCUGAGGGGUGGGGGGCUACAGCAUUUUAGCAUAUUAAGUUGGCUUGUGCAGAUCUGUUUGGUGUUCUUCUAUAGGAGUUCAAGUAUGUACACACAUUUUUUAUGCUUGGCCAGCUUGGUUGAGCACAAAUAUUUUUUUUUUUUUCUAGCACAAUGCUAUGAUUUAUUUCUUAAAUUUGGCAGUGUGAUACAGCUUGUUUUCACGUUGGGUUCCAGCAAAGUUGGCUGUCCAGGAAGGUUUUGGUACUCUUCUAUGGGAAUGUGGAUAUGUAUUACUAUCAUUUCAUUUUUGGUUGGUUGAUGGCAGGUUACCAGUGUGUGACAGGAUCCAUUCCUCUAUGGUAGGUUGGCUUGGUGGCCAUGGGUGCAGAUAUGUUUUUCUCUCAGGACGGCUCCUGUUCCAUACGUAAUUUUAUACGUAAAUUUUUCUGGCAUUUCUACAGAAUUUUAGCAUGGUGGGUUCACUUGUCCAGAUCUAUUGGUUUUCAUCUAUGGGAGUACAAAGACACACUCUUUCACCUCAAAUAUUUUAGUGACCUUAACCACAUAUAAGUUUAUCUGACAUACGAUGCUGUGUUUGAUUUAUUUCAUAGAUUUGUAGGUGGAGUGCUGCCAUUUUCCACGGUGGGCUCUAGUAUAGCUGGCAUCUUGAGAAGGAUUUGGAAUUCUUCAAUUGGAACAGAGAUAUGUAUUACUAUCAUUUCUAAACCUAUUCCAUAUAGCCUGUUGAAUUUAAAUUGAUUGGCCCGACUUGGGCGAGGACUAAGAGUGUUAUGUUCACUGAAUAUUUCUGCUGACCUGCCAACUCCAAACUGAGACUGGAUUCACGGAGCAAAUAAAACUGCCUGUUCUCAACAGUGGAAGGAUAUGGGCACAGCUACAUGUGUAAGAACCCAACACAUUUUGUAAAUACUUAACAAAAAAAAAAAAAAUUAAAUUGAUAGUAUAUGGAGGAGGGUGGCCACAUCCACGUGGUAUAUUUUUGCAGCUGCAAUCAGCGUGUUGAUCCUGGUUCUUGUUUCUAGAUUUUCGGUGGAUUCCAGCAGAGUUGGCUUCUCCAUACCAAUUUGGUAUUCUUUUAUAGAAGCUGAAAUUUUUGUCAUUGACCUUUCUUUUAUGGUUGGCUAGCUUGGUAAGCAUAAAUCUUUGGAAAAGUAUUCGAAAAUUGGCAGCUGCGUGUGGACUACUUUUUCAAAGCUUAUCUGCUCAUUUGUCCUGUCUCAUCUCUCUCUAGCACAAUCCUAUGAUUUAUUUCCUAGAUUUUGGCGGUGUGGUGAAGCUUGUUUUCACAUUUGGGUCCUGGCAAAGUUGACUAUCCAAGCAGGAUUUUGUAUUCUUCUCUGCUGAGACAGAUAUGUAUUGCAAUCAUUUCCUCUCUGGUUGGUUGCUAGCCGGUUACCAGUGUCAGUGUGUGACAUGAUCUUUUCCUCUAUGGUAGGUUGGCUUUGUAACCAUGGGUGCAGUAGAUAUGUUUUUCUCUCAGGAUGGUUCCUUGUCCAUACGUUAUUUUUUCCAUAUAUUUUUCUGGCAUUGCUACAUAAUUUUAGCGUGGUGGUCGCUUGUGCAGAUCUUGUGGUUUUCAUCUAUAGGACGACAAAUAUGUUUUAUCUGCCGCAAGAGAGAGUGAUUUGCUGGAAGUUUCUUCCAUUUCACUUUCCUUAGGCAGUCUUUCUACUUGUUUGAACAAUUAUUUUUCUUUUUCUGCAAAUUGGUCUGGAGGUUCCUUUCUAGGCUUAUGAUUUUUUUAAAGAUUAUAAAUUACGAAAUGGUUUUUUGAGGUCUUUGGUCAUGCAGUGCUGGUGACCUCUUAACCUUCUUUGACAACUAAUUUAUCAGAGUUUCUGACCUGGUUCAUUUUGAUCCUGGUUCAUGCUUCAAUGUUUUUUCUCGGUGGAUUCCAGUGAAGUUGGCUUCUCCAUACAAAUUUGGUAUUCUUUUAUAGGAGUGGAAAUUUUUAUCAUUGUCCUUUCUUUUUUGGUUAGCUAGCAUGGAAAGUAUGAAUCCUCGGAAAAGUAUUCGAAAAUUGGCAGCUGUAUGGACUAUUUUUUGCAAAGCUUAUCAGUUCAUUUGUCCUAGCUCAUGUUUUUACCAGCAUCAACUUAAAUGUGCACAACUCGUUAUGCCUUAGAUGAUUGGUUUUUCCAUUCAGUAUUUUGACAUUUUUUGCUGGUUGGAGCUUUCUGCAAGAUUUUGAUUUAUUGUGGUUUGGUUGUUGUCCAAGUGUUUGUGGCUUUGGAAGCGGUCUCACACUGAAUGUUAAGUUCAUAUAUGCCUAGGAUUGUUUCCUCAUGCAUUCUAUAUGGAAGACUUUGGACAUUGCUAUUGCCAAGUUCCUGUCUUAAUGAUUUACAAAUAAUGAAGUUCUGUCAUGUCUAGUAGAAAACUUUCCAUUCUCAACAGUGGAAAGCUCAACUGCAUGUCUAAGAGGGUGGCUGCAUCCACACGGUAUAUUUUUGCAGCAGCAAUCAGCGUGUUGAUCCUGGUUCUUGUUUCUAGAUUUUCAUCACAGUGCGGAGUUGGCUUCUCCAUACCAAUUUGGUAUUCUUUUAUAGAAUCAGAAAUUUUUAUCAUUGACCUUUCUUUAUGGUUGGCUAGCAUGGAAAGCAUGAAUACUUGGAAAGCAUGAAUAGUAUAAAACUGCCUGUUCUCAACAGUGGAAGGAUAUGGGCACAGCUGCAUGUCUAAGACCCCAACACAUUUUGUAAAUGCUUACAAAAAAAAUUAAAUUGAUAGUAUUUGGAAGAGGGUGGCUGCAUCCAUGCGGUUUAUUUUUGCAGCAGCAAUCAGCAUGUUGAUCCUGGUUCUUGUUUCUAGAUUUUCAUCAAGGUGCAGAGUUGGUUCUCCAUACCAAUUUGGUAUUCUUUUAUAGAAUCAGAAAUUUUUAUCAUUGACCUUUCUUUUAUGGUUGGCUAGUAUGGAAAGCAUGAAUAUUUGGAAAAGCUCAUCUUAAUCUCUGUCGAGAUUACUGCCUUAGCUCUGUCCUAUCAUCUGUUUAAUGGGGUUCGUCAUUUAUUGACGGAUUUUUCGGGAUUUUUCUUUCGAAGAAAAAGAUUGAAAUGACUCCCUCGCUCUUUUUUGAAGGCCCUUUCUAUUCUCUUUCGUCUAUGGUUCCUCCAUAAGAACACUGAACGCCCAGCUUUGCAGAGCAGCUCUCUCCCCAGCCCACAGCAUAGUGUGGAAUCUGGAUCGUUUCAUCGAGAAGAGGAUUUGACUAGAGUAUAAAAUCCAUAUAUAAAUCUUGUACGCAAGUUGGCACAGCGCUUUCACUUUAAAUAAAUCUCGCUCUGCCCGGUCAAAUCAGCUCUCCUGCCUGUGUAUCCCAUGCCCGGUGCCGUUGAUCUGUCUGAUGGGAGAGAUCCACCAAUUCCUUUAUUUCAAUAUGUUGUAUCCUCUCAAGAGAUGGAGUUCUCUCUAUUCAAUAGAUCAUUUCCUGCCCGGAGUGAAGGUCAUCUGUCUGGUCUAUGUGUAAUUUCGUUUAUAUGGUUACAUUGAAUUAGCCAAAACGGGAGUUUAUAGCCUUUCUUUGAUUGGUCGGGGUAGGGUACUAUGCUUCUUGACACAUGUCAUGCUGGAUUUGAAGGAAUAGAAAUGAAAGUUGAAUUCAACUAUUCUAGAGAAGAAGAAUAUCACAUAUGAAAUAACAAAUAUAUGAAGAUAGUCAAUAUGUUAGAAAGUAAACCAUGAGCAGGUGCAGGUAAUGUCAAUUGGUGGGAGUUCCAACAUAGGAAGGCACCAAGAGGUUUUUAUUCCUCUACUUUAUUCAAUGUAAUUCCUUCGUGUAAAUAGACUUCUCCUGUCAACAAACAAGAAAACGGAUACCGCGCAAGGGCUUUCGCGUUAGGUUCGGCCUGGUGCCCCUUUUUCGUUGCCCAGGUUACACCUUCAAAAAAUAACUAGUACCAAUUGAUGGGGGAGAGACAUAUGUAGGUUGGUACAAUCGGAGGUAUCACCAUAUUCCAGAUUCAAAGAGAUACCGUACUGGUCUGGCUUUUUUCGAUUGUUCCUGGUCUAUCGAAUAGAGUAGCCAUUUUUUUACCGGGAGCACAUAACAUUUUCUUUUUUAUAGGCAAUUAACUAAACAUAGUUAGCCUGACAGAGUACUUUUCAGAUUUAACCUACCCUUUUUUCUAGCUCCGAUUUUUUGUAACCUAUAUGACGGUGCAGAGUUGGUUCUCCAUACCAAUUUGGUAUUCUUUUAUAGAAUCAGAAAUUUUUAUCAUUGACCUUUCUUUUAUGGUUGGCUAGCAUGGAAAGCAUGAAUAUUUGGAAAAGUAUUCGAAAACUGGCAGCUACAUGUGGACUACUUUUUGCAAAGCUUAGCAGCUCAUUUCCUGGCUCAUGUUUCUACCAGCAUCUACUUGAAUGUGCACAACUCGUUAUGCGAUAAGAUGAUUGGUUUUGCCAUUUAGAUUCUGAUGAAUUGUGGUUUGGUGGUUGUCCAAGUGUUGGAGGCUUAGAAAGCUGUUUCACAUUGAAUUUUGGUAUAUGCCUGGGAUUCUUUCCUCAUGCAUUCUAUAUAGAAGAGUUUGGACUUUUCUGUAUCUAAGUUUCUGUGUUAAUGAUCUAUGAAGAAUGAACUUCUCUCAUAUCUAGUUGAAAAUUUUGAUCAAGCCUUAGUUUAACUGCAGUGAGAAAGUGUGAUUUGUGGAAGUAUUUUUUGUCUCGUUUUCCUUGGGAUGUCUUUCUACUUGUUUGAACAAUUAUUUUUUUUGUGCAACUGGUCUUAAAGGGUCCUUUUUAGGCAUAUGAUUUUUUGAGGAUCAUAAAUUGCGACGUGUUUUUUGAGAUGUUUGGUCUUUCAGUGUUGGUGACCUUAAAACCUUUUUUCUGGCCUGGUUAUGGUCACCAAAGGAAAAACAUCUCUGGGCAGGAAAAUAGCAGGUUUUGAUAGUUGGUUUGUAGCUGAGACGUGUAUGUUUUCCCGAGAUUUUCAUGCCAUAACUUGUAUUGCUGGAUUUGUUUUGGAAUCUCUCUGUGUCAGAUAUUUGCUUACCUCCUUCCCUGCCAUAGAAGAAUUGUUUACUACAAAAUUACAAUGGUUGGGUUGUACAGGAAGGCACCAAAAUCCCACUGCGGGCUAAUUUUUGCUAUCUAGCACAAUCGUAUGAUUUAUUUCAAAGAUUUUGGCUGUGGGGUACUGCAUGUUUUGACAUUGGGUUCUGGUCAAGUUGGAUGUCCAAGAAGGAUUUGGUAUUCUUCUGUGUGAACACAGAUAUGUAUUACUACCAUUUCCUUUGUCGUUGGUUUCUGGCAGGUAACCAGUGUCUAACAUGAUCUUUUCCUCUAUGGUAGGUUUGCUUUGUGACCAUGGGUGCAGAUAUGUUUUUCUCUCAAGACAGCCUCUGUUCCGUACAUGAUUUUUGCCGUAGAUUUUUCUGGCAUUGCCACAAAAUUUUUGUGUGGUGGGUUUGCUUGUGCGGAUCUAUUGUUUUUCAUCUAUAAGAGUACAAAUACAUACACAAUGUUUUAGCUGAAAUGGCUUAAUGACCUCAAGCACAUAUAUGUUCCUUUGAAACACGAUGCAAUGUUCGAUUUAGGUCAUAGAUUUUGUUGGAGUACUGCCAUUUUCCAUGGUUGGUUUUAGCGAAGUUGGCGUUUUGAGAAGGAUUUGGAAUUUUUCUAUCUGAGCAGAGAUUUGUAUUACUAUCAUAUCAUUUCCUUUACGUAUUGCAAUCAUGGUGUGACCUUGAGUAUAGCCUAUUGAAUUUAAAUUAAUAGGCCCGACUUGAGCGAAGGCAUAGAGUGUUGGAUCACUAAAUAUUUCUACUGACCGGCUAGAUCUGGCUCUCAAGUCGUGUCUCGCUUCCGAGAGUUCAACGUGUGAGUCUGGUUUCACGAAGCAAAGAAAACCUCCCGUCUCAAUGGUGGAAGGAUAACGCGUACAGCUGCAUUUCUAAGAACCCAACUCAUUUUGUAGAUACUUAAUGAAAAAAAAAAUAGUAUUUGAGAUGGGUGGCGGCAUCAAGGUAGUAUAUUUUUGCAGCGGCAAUCAGCAUGUUGGUCAUGGAACAUCAGAGUGGAUUCUAGCGAAAUUAGUUUCUCCAGACCAACUUGGUUUUCUUUUUAGGGGCACGAAUUUUUAUCAUUGUCCUUUCUUUUAUGGUUGGUUAGCAUGGAAAGCAUGAAUCUUUGGAAAGUGCACAACUCGUUAGGCCUUAAAAUGAUUGGUUUUGCCAUCAAGGUUGGUGCUUUGUGCAAGAUUUUGAUUUAUUUUGGUUUGGUUGUUGUCCAUAGUGUUGGAAGCGGUUUCACUUUGAAUGAUAGGGUUGGUAUAUUCUUUCCUCGUGCAUUCUAUAUUGAGGAGUUUGGACUUUUCUGUAGCCAACUUAUAUUGUUAAUGAUCUAUGAAGAAUGCACUUCUCUCGUGUCUAGUUGAAAAGUAUGAACAAUAAUUUUUCUUGUGCAAAUUGGUCUUGAGGGUCCUUUUUUGGCAUAUGAUUUUUUGAGAUCUUUGGUCGUUCAUUGUUGGUGACCUGCUAACCUUCUUGGACACACUUAAUUUAUCAGAGUUUUUGCCUAAUUAUGGUCACCGAAGGAAAAUCAUCUUUGGGUAGGAAAAAAACAUGUUUUCACAGGAUUUUCAUGCAAUAACAUGUAUUGCUAGAUUUGUUUCAUAAUCUGUGUGUCAGAUAUUUGCUUACCUCCUUCCAGGCCAUAGAAGAAUUGUUAACUAGGCGCUAAAAUGUUUACGAAAUUGCAAUGGUUGGGUUGUAGAGGAAGGCACCGAAAUCCCACUGGAGGGGGGUGGUGGGGGGCUACAGCAUUUUAGCAUAUUCCGUUGGUUUGUGCAGAUCUGUUUGGCAUUUUUUAUGCGUGGUGGGUUCGCUUGUGCGGAUCUAUUGGUUUUCAUCUAUAGGAGUACAAAUACUAUAAAUAGCCAUUACUGUACACAGAUCAUGUAUUGAAGAAUACAAGCAAUACAAUACUCAGUUCUAUAGAAUAUUUUCAAACACUUGGCGUCUCUACUUCUUCUGUUUUAACACCCUUCAACCGUUAACCCAAGCACUCGUGACAAAAAUUUUCAAACACUUGGCGUCUCUACUUCUUCUGUUUUAACACCCUUCAACCGUUAACCCAAGCACUUGUGACAAAAAUUUGCUUACCUCCUUUAGGGUAAGCAUAAAGAUUCUUACGUUACACUUCAAUACAAUGAAUUUGAUAAGGAUAGAAUACGUCCGAUGGUCGAUUGAAGGUCCUGUGCCAUUGGAACUCAAAUCUAUCUUACCUUCAAACCAUCUUUGUCCAGCUAGCUCGUAACAAAAUGUUAGACCAAUCACGGACUGACGCAACCGAAUUGGUUGAGGAGAAGGGAACCCCAGCAACAAAUCUCCCAAAAGUAGAGAUUGAUCGAAGAACCUGAAAGAGAUAUUUAAGCCCCCACAAUUUUAGCUAAGAGAUAAAGUCAAUAAGGAAUUUAGACUCCUAAAAAGGAGAUGACUCACACUUCUAGCAGGAGAUGGAUUUACACUCCUAAAAGGAAUAGGUUUCACAAGUCAAAUUGGACUCAUCACUCAAAAGAAAUAAUCUUUAUAAAUAACCUACAGAAGGUAACAAACAAUUGAUUGAUUGGCUACUUUAUACUCUCAUUUGCUAUACUGACUUUGGCAUCGGAGUGUCUCGAUGGCAACUAGUGCCUCUCUUUUAUUCGUUGUAGGUCAUCCGUGUGGUUGGUGGUAUGAAACACGUCCUUAACAGUGACAUCAUCUAUGGGAUUCUUUGUAGACUUCAAUGUGAUUUUCACACAUCAACUAUCACACAUCACAUGCAAAUCGCAAUCAUCUACAAAAGUCCAGGUUCUUUAACUCGUGAGACCAUCUCCAAUAAAGAAAAAAAAUUAACAAAUUAGAAUUUUAUGUACUAAUCUAUUAUUUUUCUUUUAUUUCGUUAAUUUUGGUGUGUAUAUAUGUAUAUUCUAGAUGAUGCUCUUCAUGUGUACGUAAUGUGAUUUACUCGACUUUUGAAACUCUCCUUUGUAAACUAAUCAUUUUGUUCCUGUUCUAUCUUAACACAGAGAGAGAGAGAGAGAGAGAGAGAGAGAGAGAGAACUAGUAGUUUGUAAUUUACUAAUUUGUAUAAGUAGUAGUGGUGAGAGAAAAAGGCUCUUCGUCAGAAAGUUUCACCCGAAAAGGAAGCUGUAGUGUAGGGUUUCCUCAGUCAUCAAGCCCCUUUUACUACCUCGUUUAUCUGCCAUUUGGGUUUUAGAGCUUCCUGAGACGACAAUCCUCAUGAUUUUGGAGGUUCUCUUAUCAAUUAUGUUACUGUUUGGUCUGAUAUUUCCUUCUAAAUUGUGUGAAAUUAUGGACGACUCUUGGGUUUUUCACGGGCUAAAGUACUACUGACCUUGAGCCUAGAAAUAAGUGAUUUGGCAGCGGUUCUGGAAUCUGGGUGUCGAAUUUCGGUUUUAUUGGCUAGGGUUAUGAGUUGUAAAAUUUGGAGGCUUAUGGAUUAGAAUGAGAGAAUGCCUUGUGAAGUUGAAUCAUGAUACAAAAUAUAAUAUUAUAAUAAUAAUAAUAAUAAUAAUAAUAAUAAUAAUAAUAAUAAUAAAUAAAAUUAAAAAAAAAUAAACAAACAAAAAAAGAAGAGAGAACAAACAAUUAUGGUUAAGUGCUCAAAGACGGACAAUUUUCCUAUGCAAAAAUUGUUUCAGUAGCUAAUGAUCUCAGUCGAGGAAUAGUUGGAUGCAACAACCAAAUUACUCGAGUUUGGCUUUUUCAAAUCUGUUAUUUUUUUUUCUAAUGAAGUUGAUUUUUUGAAAGACAAAACUCUUCAAGGUUCCACAAGAAACUUGGCUCCUGCAUGUCGUGGGAAUAUACUUCACUGGAAAUGAAUCGCAUGGCGCGAAAUACCAACAAUGAAGCGGAUCUUGGGCUCCACUUGUGCAUCUCAGUUUAUCUUCAACAAAAUAGGUCGUUCGGUAUCGUGGGCAGCCUGGGCCUUUUUACUGGUAUCGUGAGCAUCCUAGACCUUCAUCAAUGCUAGAGCAUGGCUGCCCGUGGACAUAGUCCAUGUGUCACUGGCCUUCGCCACACUCAAGCAAGAUAGCCAAGGUUUGCAAACCUUAAACUUGUGAUUUAGAUUAUUUAAGCUAAUCUGUUUGGUUUUUAUUUUGGUACAAGGCAAGCUCUAGUUUCUGCCACAUAGUGCGGUUGCAUUUUAUCUCCUACUACAACGAAGCAGUUGAGCUCAACUUUAACAUCAAUGUGGUAGAGUCAUCCUCCCGCCACGCUUUCCUAACCAAGGCUACACGGUCAAGCAUCUCUCUCGUUAUGCCACUUGCCAGAGUUACAUGGUCAAGGGCAUCUCUCGUUACACCUAUUCGCCAACGAAUAUCGCCCAUGUAUCACCAACCUUCACUACACACUAGCAGAAUGGCUUAGGUUUGCAAAUCCAAAACUUGUAAAUUAUAUUAUGCUAACCUAUUUUGUGUUAGUAAAAAUUCCUCAGGAUGUGGUACAAUCAAGAAGGGCUUCAACGUUGAAGAACCCCACGACCCACUUAGCAACUAAGAAGGGUGUGGAGAUCAAAGAACACUCAGUAACUAGAAGAAGACCCGCGCGGGCAACAAGACCCAUGCCUCUUGGUGAGCAGACAAGACCAAUGCUUUGGGAAAUUAACCUGACUGACGCCUUUCGGCGAGCAGCAAAAUCGACACUGCCACCAUGCAAACAGAUCAAUCUUUCUUUGGAAAGCAUAUGUGGUUCUGUCACUGCUCGUGCCAAGGCAUGGCUACUUGCAGGCAUCACCCAUGUAUCACCAGCCUUCACCACACUUUAGCAGGGUUGCUCAGGUUCACAAAAUCUCAAACUUGUAAUUUGUAUUACAUUAACCUAAUUAAAUUUUGGUGAAAAUCUAUCAGGGCGAUUGAACUUGGCCUCCUGUCACAACAAUGCAGCCGAGCAUCUCUCCAUACACCAAUGAUGUGGAGGUCAAUAGACCACAACACCCUUAAAUACCUAUGAUGAGCCUACACGACUUGCAGUGCCAUGUAAAAGGGACGUGGAGAUCAUUAGACUACGCCACCCCAAAACACCAAUGAUGAGCCUAAACAACUCGCGGUGUUAUGUAAAUUGGGAAAGGUCCCUGACCGUCCAACACCACUCACACAUCGUAGAGAGCCAACAGGCAAGACAAGUUGUAAGACUGCUUGACCUCUUUCGUGACAAGUAAACAAGCGGGAAAGGUCAAGGACCACCCGACCUCCUAGGCACUUAAUAGGCAGGCAACUCUCUGUAUUGCCUGGCCUCUUUCACUUGAACCGCAAAACGAGUAUAACAUCUUCUCUAGCAAACGCCGAGUGUAUAUGCUGGUGCCACAACUGUCGCCAGCGGGUUACCCACGAGAACAAGCCAUCGAGCUCCAUAUCUGCAUCGUGAGAGUUUCCUUUGGGAAUGAGUGAAUGGGUUCAGCAACCCCUAAUGUGGACCCAGGGAGUCGACAUGCUUUCUGAUCACUUAAGUGUGGGUUACUACUAGCAAACACUAACAACAAAUCAAGAACACCAACAAUUUACGCUAAGGGGUAGGAAAUCCACUACUACCAACAAAAGCAAAAACAAUCACAAAAAUACACACAUAAAACCAAUAGACAAAAAUAGUCACUCUUUGCCGACAAUAAACAAUCUCUCAAGCAAACAUUCACACAAACAAACAAACUCAAAAUUGAGCUCCAUGCUCACACCUAAUGUGGAUGAGUACAUCUCCCACCUAUCUCUCCAAGCUGAGCUCAUCAUCGCUUAGCACAAAACAAACAGAAAACCAAGGACCAAACGGGAAACCAAUGACCAAGUUUCUAAAUUUAUUUUGCAAAUUAUUGACUUGAAAAUUUUCAAGGCCUUCUAAGCCUUCAUAACUACCAGAAUUGCUUUUUCUGCAGGUUACCUCCAUCAUAGUUGACUUGAAGAUUCCCAAGACAACUAAACGGCCGAGCCACCAAAGGUCGUUCACAAUGCAGCCAAUUGGUAGCUAACCAAAAGGAAGUGAAGGCACCCACAUGCACUGACUAGCAUGGAUCCUUGGUGGGGUAGGGAAAAAUGAAGGCAAUCAGACGCCCACAAGCCAGCUGGGUAAAAGGCAGGUACAAAGAAUGCAAAGUAUUUAAUUUUCCAUGUGACUGCAUAAAGAAAAUUAGCGAGGUAACUGGAAGGAAUAUUUGAGCCCUCACAAUUUUAGCUCAGAGAUAAAGUCAAGAAGGGAUUCAGACUCUUAAGAGGGAGAUGAAUCACACUUCUAGCAGGAGAUUUGACUUACAUUCCUAAAAGGAAAAAGUUUCACAAGUCAAGUUGGACUUACACUCAAAAAAUAAUAUCUAGAAAUAGCCUACAAGAGGUAACAAACAUAUUGAUUGGCUACUUUAUACAUUUACUCUCAUAUUGCUAUACUGACUUUAGCAUCGGAGUGUCCCCAGGGCAAUCAGUGCUGCCCCUUUGUUCAUUGUAGGUCAUCUGUGUGGUUGGUGGUAUGAAACACGUCCUUAACACAACCAUUGGGUUGUCAAGGACACAUUUGAAGAAGAGGCGGGUGCCCUCUAAGUUUACCAACCUACCCACAAUGCAUAUGAAUAAAUUGUUUUGUAUAAGGUCGAUGAUACAUGGCAAUUAAAUUAUUGAACAUAUUGUUGUUUUUAAUACACUGUAUUAUGAUAAAAGUAACAUGUGAGAUACAUCAAAAUAAUUGAAUAUCAGCAUUUUCUUUAUAAUAAACAUAUUUCAUUCAAAAGGAAGCACAAGUACAUCUUAAUACAUAGAACAACAACUACAAAGUUAAUGAGAUUUUAGACUGAAUAAAAUCUGGACACUAAUUGUGACCAAUCACUCAUUUUCCUCUCGAUUGGUCACGAGUCUCACCUAUACGUUUUAAAUCUCAAAUCUUGUUUUUAAAUUUUGCGAAUGAUUUUUAAAUAGAGUGAAUUGUCUUAAAAUCUUCUCACUAUUUUUAUUAGUCCAAAACUGAUUUUAAUGAGGCAUUUUAGUGUUAUUGGAUCAAACCUAAUUUUUAAAUAAGAUUCUUUAAUUGUUUGGAGCCACGAAAAUUAUAAAGUUUUAAAAAUUUAUUUUAUUUAAAUGAUUUUAUUUCUUUAGAAAUAUUAUUUAAUAUUCAUCUUUUUAUUUUAUGUUAAAAACUCUACUUAUUUAGAUAAUUGUAUUUCUCUUAAGAAAUAUUUACUAAAACUCAUCAAUUUAAUUGAUGAUAAAAAUAUUAUUUUUGGACCAAGAAAAACAAAGUUGGAUUUUAAAUUUGGUGCACAGCUUCCAAGUGUGUUUCCUUUGGUGAAUGCAUGUGUUGACUCACCACACUCACUGCGAAUGCAAUGUUAGGUCUGGUAUGUGAUAGAUAGAUUAGUUUGCCAACUAAUCUCUAAUAUCUUUCUCUUUCAACAGGUCUUCCAAAGCCUCCCGUUCUUUUCCCUACUUCGAUGGUAGUGUCACUUGGUUUACAACCAAGAAUGCCAAUUUUAGUUAGGAGAUCAAGAAUAUACUUGCACUAAGAGACUAAUUCCCUUCUUUGAUCUAGUAACUUCCAUUCUCAAAAAGUACCUCAUUUGUCCCAAAUAUUUUACUUCAAACUCAGAGGAUAAGACUUUCUUCAACCUCUCCAUCUCCACUAGAUUACCUCCAGUAUAGGAUUAUAACAUCGACAUAUACAAUCAUACUUGUUUUCUUUCCAUAUUUGGACUACUGAAACAACAUAGUAUAGUCUGAUUGUCCCUGCCGAUAUCUUUGAUCCUUUAUCACCUUUGCAAAUCUAUCAAACCGUGCUCUUAGAGAUUGUUUGAAUCCAUACAAGGAUUUCUUGAGUUUACAUACUCUAUUUUCUUCACCCUUCUUACAAAAACUUGGUGGUACUGUCAUGAGAACUUCUUCUAAUUCACCAUUUAGAAAUGCAUUCUUAAUGUCAAAUUGUUGAAGUGGCCAAUCUAAAUUGGCUACCAAAGAUGAGUAACUGAAUUGUAUUUAACUUUUCCAUAGGUACAAACGUCUCGGUGUAGUAAAUGUCAUAGGUUUGUGUAAAGCCCUUUGCAACAAGACGGGCUUUGUACUGUUCUACUAUCCCAUUAACUCUAUAUUUCACAAUGAAAACUCAUUUGCAGUCCACUGGUUUCUUCCCUCUCGACAAAUUCAUCACAUGCCAAGUUUCAUUUUUUUCCAAGACCCGUAUUUCUUCCAUAACUACCUCUCUCCAUUUAGGAAUCUCCAAGAAUUCCUAAAUAUUCUUUGGAAUUUUUAUACUAUCAAGGUUAGAAGUAAAGGCACGACACCUUGCAGACAAAGUAUUGUAAGACAUGAAUUUUGAAAUAGGAUAGAGAGUACAUGAUCAAGUUUGUUUCCUGAGAGCAAUAGGUAAAUCAAUAUCAGUAGGCUCAAAUUUAUUAGAGGAGAUCAAACUCAUGACAAUUUUGAGCUAUUACUUGGUCGGAAUUGGAAAGAGACUCAUGAUUGCUUGGAUCUAUCAUCGGUUCCAACUCUCUUGGUGCCUCAGGGCUUAGAAAUGGUUGGGACAGAUUCAGCAAUACAGAGAUCGAAGUCCAGAAAACUCCAAGGUCGAGCUUCACUCAAAUUCUCCCCUUGAAGAGAGGGCUUUUGGGAGUAAGGAGUGGUCUCAAAGAAAGUAACAUCAAGGCUAACAAAUAUUUUUUUUGGGUGGCUAGAUCAUAUCAAUUGUACCCUUUUUGGGUAGGAGAAUAGCCAAUAAAAACACAUUUAAGAGCUCUAGGGUCUAGUUUAUUUCGAUGGUAAUCAUGAAUAUGGACAAAGGCCAUACAACCAAACACUUUGAGAGAUAGACUUGAGUUGAGACAAGAGGUAGGAAAAAAUUCCUAAAAUUUUUUUAGGGGUGUUGCAAAUGAAAGGACACGGCUAGGCAUUCUAUUAAUGAGAUAUGUAGCUGUUAAGAUGGCAUCUCCCCAAAAUAUUUUUUUGGCAUUUUGUAGUGAACAUCAACGCACGAGCAACUUCAAGAA